UACUGGGCGUAAGCGCGCGCAGGCGGUCUGUCAAGUCGGAUGUGAAAUCCCCGGGCUCAACCUGGGAACUGCAUUCGAAACUGGCAGGCUAGAGUCUUGUAGAGGGGGGUGGAAUUCCCGGUGUAGCGGUGAAAUGCGUAGAGAUCUGGAGGAAUACCGGUGGCGAAGGCGGCCCCCUGGACUGAUACUGACGCUCAGGUGCGAAAGCGUGGGGAGCAAACAGGAUUAGAUACCCUGGUAGUCCACGCCGUAAACGAUGUCGAUUUGGAGGUUGUGCCCUUGAGGCUUGGCUGCCGGAGCUAACGCGUUAAAUCGACCGCCUGGGGAGUACGGCCGCAAGGUUAAAACUCAAAUGAAUUGACGGGGGCCCGCACAAGCGGUGGAGCAUGUGGUUUAAUUCGAUGCAACGCGAAGAACCUUACCUGGUCUUGACAUCCACAGAACUUUCCAGAGAUGGAUUGGUGCCUUCGGGAACUGUGACACAGGUGCUGCAUGGCUGUCGUCAGCUCGUGUCGUGAAAUGUUGGGUUAAGUCCCGCAACGAGCGCAACCCUUGUCCUUUGUUGCCAGCGCUUAGGCCGGGAACUCCUAGGAGACUGGCAGUGAUCAACUGGAAGAAGGUGGGGAUGACCUCAAGU
rnacentral:rRNA from 1 species